rnacentral:rRNA from 1 species
UACGUAGGGGGCAAGCGUUGUCCGGAUUUAUUGGGCGUAAAGAGCGUGUAGGCGGUCAGGUAGGUCCGUUGUGAAAACUCGAGGCUCAACCUCGAGACGCCGAUGGAAACCAUCUGACUAGAGUCCGGAAGAGGAGAGUGGAAUUCCUGGUGUAGCGGUGAAAUGCGCAGAUAUCAGGAAGAACACCCGUGGCUAAAGCGGCUCUCUAGUACGGUACUGACGCUGAGACGCGAAAGCGUGGGGAGCGAACAGG